rnacentral:tRNA from 1 species
GGAGGGAUGGCCGAGUGGUUUAAGGCGGCGGUCUUGAAAACCGUUGAAUGAAAGUUUCGGGGGUUCGAAUCCCUCUCCCUCCG